UACGAGGGGGGGCAAGCGUUGUUCGGAAUUAUUGGGCGUAAAGGGCGCGUAGGCGGUUUGACAAGUCUGAUGUGAAAUCUAUGGGCUCAACUCAUAGUCUGCAUUAGAAACUGUCGGGCUUGAGUAUGGGAGAGGUGAGUGGAAUUUCCGGUGUAGCGGUGAAAUGACGUAGAUAUCGGAAGGAACACCUGUGGCGAAAAGC
rnacentral:rRNA from 1 species